rnacentral:rRNA from 1 species
UACGUAGGGUGCAAGCGUUGUCCGGAAUUAUUGGGCGUAAAGAGCUCGUAGGCGGUUUGUCGCGUCUGUUGUGAAAACCCGAGGCUCAACCUCGGGCCUGCAGUGGGUACGGGCAGACUAGAGUGCGGUAGGGGAGAUUGGAAUUCCUGGUGUAGCGGUGGAAUGCGCAGAUAUCAGGAGGAACACCAAUGGCGAAGGCAGAUCUCUGGGCCGUAACUGACGCUGAGGAGCGAAAGCAUGGGGAGCGAACAGG